rnacentral:rRNA from 1 species
UACGUAGGGGGCAAGCGUUGUCCGGAAUCAUUGGGCGUAAAGAGCGUGUAGGCGGCCCGAUAAGUCCGCUGUGAAAGUCCAGGGCUCAACCCUGGAAUGCCGGUGGAUACUGUCGGGCUCGAAUCCGGAAGAGGUGAGUGGAAUUCCUGGUGUAGCGGUGAAAUGCGCAGAUAUCGGGAGGAACACCAGUGGCGAAGGCGACUACCUGGCCUGUUCUUGACGCUGAGGCGCGAAAGCUAGGGGAGCAAACGGG